rnacentral:rRNA from 1 species
AACGAACGCUGGCGGCAGGCCUAACACAUGCAAGUCGAGCGCCGUAGCAAUACGGAGCGGCAGACGGGUGAGUAACACGUGGGAACGUGCCCAAAGGUACGGAACAACUCCGGGAAACUGGAGCUAAUACCGUAUGUGCCCGAGCGGGGAAAGAUUUAUCGCCUUUGGAUCGGCCCGCGUCUGAUUAGCUAGUUGGUGGGGUAAUGGCCCACCAAGGCGACGAUCAGUAGCUGGUCUGAGAGGAUGGCCAGCCACACUGGGACUGAGACACGGCCCAGACUCCUACGGGAGGCAGCAGUGGGGAAUAUUGGACAAUGGGCGCAAGCCUGAUCCAGCCAUGCCGCGUGAGUGAUGAAGGCCUUAGGGUUGUAAAGCUCUUUCGCCAGGGACGAUAAUGACGGUACCUGGAUAAGAAGCCCCGGCUAACUUCGUGCCAGCCGCCGCUGUAAUAC